GAAGGGCUCCGGCUGCCCAUAGCAGGACCACAUGGAGGCCACCUUCUCGAGAAGCUCGUGUGCCUGGUGGGCACCCAGUGCAGAUUACAAGUGCCCGCCCCACUUUUCAGCAGAAAAACAAAAGCAGAACCAUGGACAGUGGCGUAAACAGACGGCUGGACCAAGUCAGCACCACGGACAGCAGCCUCGAAGGCCUUGGGUACAAACAUGGCACAGCCAUCGUCUGAUGUGGAAAAUGCAGCAUCGUGCACAGCAAAGUAGCCUUAUGUGAGGUAGUUUCAGAUUAAGAAGGCAUUCUGGACCAUCGUCCCAUGACCUCAUGUGUCUUAGGGCGUAAACCAUGUCCAUUUUUGUAACCUGACGGCCCAAGUUCUUGGAGUCAUGCAUGCAUGGACCAUGAGAAGAACAGAUUGAUCCUGAGUAGGGUAGGCGGAAUUCUAAGAUGGUUCCUUAUUCUGAUGUGAAAUUUGUAUCUAUAUAUAAAUAUAUUAAUAUAAAUAUAUUUAAAUUAAAGUAUAGUUGAUUCUCCCAAGUUCAGUUAACAUU